ACUUUAGUGCAGGUGGUUGCAGCAUUGGGCUAUGACCCUGGAGACCAGAGUUCGAAUCUCUGCUGAGGGA